GCUAUAAUCCAAUUAGGGGAACCUGUCCUUUAAUUCGAUAAUCCGCGAAAAUCUUACUUACUCUAGCCUAAUCAACAGCUUAUAUACCGUCGUCUAGCCAGCCUUGUCAAAAGAAAAGCCAGCAAGAAAGGCCUAAACACCCUAAAAAGUCAGAUAAAGGCGUAGCCUAUGAGUAAGCAGGAGGUGGGUUACAAUUAAAAACUUGAUAGUGGAAUUUUAAUGAAAUUUUAAAAAGAAAGAGGACUUAAAAGUAAUAUUUUAAAAAAACUGAAAUAUGAAUUCGGAAAUAUAGUGUGU
rnacentral:rRNA from 1 species